AGGACCCAGUCAGGAGUGCUAUUACGUUAUAUCAUCAGCUCUCACUAACCAGAACAAUGUCCAGACUGUCCACAAGGAGUUGUGUCCUUCUUAUCUGUCUUCUAGUGACUCUAGUCGUUGUUAACGAAGUUUCGUCACAAAUCACUUUCCCUCGUGGAUGGAAACCAGGAAAACGAUCAAGUAACUGCGAUGAAGUUGAAAACAACAUAUUUUGGCAAUUGGAACGUCGAAUCAAGGACGAAGUAACCCAACUUAUUCAAUGUGCUGAUGUCCACCAUUUUGACGACAUAAGGAAAGAAAACUGAAACCUGCACAAGUGUUUGCUUUUCUCUUUCACUUGAAACUGGCUUACAAUGUUAUAAUGUUUCUUUACUGAUUCUUUAAAUACAAAAACCUUGAUAAACCUUU